AGCUGAAUCAAUCAUCCAAAGACAGCACGGCCUCUGGGACCUCUGGCAGGAAUAGUUUACAGUUGUAAUGAGUAACAAACAAAAAAAAGUUGCUUGAAUCAAUCAUCCAAAGACAGCACAGCCUCUGGGACUUCAGGCAGAAAUAGUUUACGGUUGCAAUGAGCAACAAACAAAAAAAAGAAGCAUAAUGGCUUGUCAUGAUGACCAACCAUCACGCAAGAACAGCAGACACAUAGUAAGAGCAAUCUGAUGCAGAUAGGAAGAUGAUUAUCACUGUUGGAGGUCAGUCAUCUCAGCUCCAGGCCAUCCCUUCAGGAGCUCCUCUGGAAACUGAAAGAAGUGAAGCCAAUUCUGCUUCCACCAUUCAAACUGAACUUGGCUACCUGAGAUUGGACGCAGAGGGUCGUACGUGUAUGGAAUGAGCUGCCAGAGGAAGU